rnacentral:rRNA from 1 species
UAAGUUAAUAAGGGCGCACGGUGGAUGCCUUGGCACUAGGAGCCGACGAAGGACGUGACAAACGACGAUAUGCCUUGGGUAGCUGUAAGUAAGCGAUGAUCCAGGGAUUUCCGAAUGGGGGAACCCAACAGGUAAUACCUGUUACCUACAUCUGUUAAGGAUGUGAGGAGGAAGACGCAGUGAACUGAAACAUCUAAGUAGCUGCAGGAAGAGAAAGCAAAAGCGAUUGCCUUAGUAGCGGCGAGCGAAACGGCAGAAGGGCAAACCGAAGAGUUUACUCUCCGGGGUUGUAGGACUGCAAUGUGGACUCAAAGAUUAUAGAAGAAUGAUUUGGGAAGAUCAGCCAAAGAGAGUAAUAGCCUCGUAUUUAAAAUAGUCUUUGUACUUAGCAGUAUCCUGAGUACGGCGGGACACGUGAAAUCCCGUCGGAAUCUGGGAGGACCAUCUCCCAACCCUAAAUACUCCCUAGUGACCGAUAGUGAACCAGUACCGUGAGGGAAAGGUGAAAAGCACCCCGGGAGGGGAGUGAAAUAGAACCUGAAACCGUGUGCCUACAACAAGUUCGAGCCCGUUAAUGGGUGAGAGCGUGCCUUUUGUAGAAUGAACCGGCGAGUUACGUUAUGAUGCGAGGUUAAGUUGAAGAGACGGAGCCGUAGGGAAACCGAGUCUGAAUAGGGCGCCUUAGUAUCAUGACGUAGACCCGAAACCAUGUGACCUACCCAUGAGCAGGUUGAAGGUGCGGUAAGACGCACUGGAGGACCGAACCAGGGCACGUUGAAAAGUGCUUGGAUGACUUGUGGGUAGCGGAGAAAUUCCAAACGAACUUGGAGAUAGCUGGUUCUCUCCGAAAUAGCUUUAGGGCUAGCGUCGACAUUAGAGAUUCUUGGAGGUAGAGCACUGUUUGGGUGAGGGGUCCAUCCCGGAUUACCAAUCUCAGAUAAACUCCGAAUGCCAAUGAAUUAUGGUCGGCAGUCAGACUGCGAGUGCUAAGAUCCGUAGUCGAAAGGGAAACAGCCCAGACCACCAGCUAAGGUCCCAAAAUAAUUGUUAAGUGGAAAAGGAUGUGGGGUUGCACAGACAACUAGGAUGUUAGCUUAGAAGCAGCUAUUCAUUCAAAGAGUGCGUAAUAGCUCACUAGUCGAGUGACCCUGCGCCGAAAAUGUACCGGGGCUAAAACAAUUUACCGAAGCUGUGGAUACCUUUAUAGGUAUGGUAGGAGAGCGUUCUAUGUGUGAUGAAGGUAUACCGUGAGGAGUGCUGGAACGCAUAGAAGUGAGAAUGCCGGUAUGAGUAGCGAAAGACAGGUGAGAAUCCUGUCCACCGUAAGACUAAGGUUUCCAGGGGAAGGCUCGUCCGCCCUGGGUUAGUCGGGACCUAAGGAGAGACCGAAAGGUGUAUCCGAUGGACAACAGGUUGAUAUUCCUGUACUAGAGUAUGUAGUGAUGGAGGGACGCAGUAGGCUAACUAAAGCAGACGAUUGGAAGAGUCUGUCUAAGCAGUGAGGUGUGAAUUGAGUCAAAUGCUUAAUUCUAUAACAUUGAGCUGUGAUGGGGAGCGAAGUUUAGUAGCGAAGUUAGUGACGUCACACUGCCAAGAAAGGCUUCUAGCGUUUAAACAUACUCUACCCGUACCGCAAACCGACACAGGUAGUCGAGGCGAGUAGCCUCAGGUGAGCGAGAGAACUCUCGUUAAGGAACUCGGCAAAAUGACCCCGUAACUUCGGGAGAAGGGGUGCUGACUUAAAGUCAGCCGCAGUGAAUAGGCCCAAGCAACUGUUUAUCAAAAACACAGCUCUCUGCUAAAUCGUAAGAUGAUGUAUAGGGGGUGACGCCUGCCCGGUGCUGGAAGGUUAAGAGGAGUGCUUAGCGUAAGCGAAGGUAUGAAUUGAAGCCCCAGUAAACGGCGGCCGUAACUAUAACGGUCCUAAGGUAGCGAAAUUCCUUGUCGGGUAAGUUCCGACCCGCACGAAAGGCGUAAUGAUUUGGGCACUGUCUCAACGAGAGACUCGGUGAAAUUUUAGUACCUGUGAAGAUGCAGGUUACCCGCGACAGGACGGAAAGACCCCAUGGAGCUUUACUGCAGUUUGAUAUUGAGUGUCUGUACCACAUGUACAGGAUAGGUAGGAGUCUAAGAGAUCGGGACGCCAGUUUCGAAGGAGACGCUGUUGGGAUACUACCCUUGUGUUAUGGCCACUCUAACCCAGAUAGGUGAUCCCUAUCGGAGACAGUGUCUGACGGGCAGUUUGACUGGGGCGGUCGCCUCCUAAAAGGUAACGGAGGCGCCCAAAGGUUCCCUCAGAAUGGUUGGAAAUCAUUCGCAGAGUGUAAAGGUAUAAGGGAGCUUGACUGCGAGAGCUACAACUCGAGCAGGGACGAAAGUCGGGCUUAGUGAUCCGGUGGUUCCGUAUGGAAGGGCCAUCGCUCAACGGAUAAAAGCUACCCUGGGGAUAACAGGCUUAUCUCCCCCAAGAGUUCACAUCGACGGGGAGGUUUGGCACCUCGAUGUCGGCUCGUCGCAUCCUGGGGCUGUAGUCGGUCCCAAGGGUUGGGCUGUUCGCCCAUUAAAGCGGCACGCGAGCUGGGUUCAGAACGUCGUGAGACAGUUCGGUCCCUAUCCGUCGCGGGCGUAGGAAAUUUGAGAGGAUCUGCUCCUAGUACGAGAGGACCAGAGUGGACUUACCGCUGGUGUACCAGUUGUCUUGCCAAAGGCAUCGCUGGGUAGCUAUGUAGGGAAGGGAUAAACGCUGAAAGCAUCUAAGUGUGAAACCCACCUCAAGAUGAGAUUUCCCAUGAUUAUAUAUCAGUAAGAGCCCUGAGAGAUGAUCAGGUAGAUAGGUUAGAAGUGGAAGUGUGGCGACACAUGUAGCGGACUAAUACUAAUAGCUCGAGGACUUAUCCA